rnacentral:rRNA from 2 species
UAUUCAAGCUUCUUAUUUUAUAUGAGAGUUUGAUCCUGGCUCAGGAUGAACGCCGGCGGUGUGCCUAAUACA